AGAAAUUUCAAUCAUUGUACUGUUGAUAUUUGGCUCUGUUGACUAAUGAGUUUGCCGACCACUGGUCUAGAAGAUGAGAAGAGCAGAGUCAAGCAUAGGAUAUAGACUUGGGCCUCUCAAGUUAGGCCUGAGAGCCCAUGUAGAUAAAGCCGGAUCUCUCAAGAAGGUGUGAGGAGUCUGAGUUGGCUAUAGGUUGAGAUGCAGGCAGGUACGGGAAACUUGGUCCAUUAGCGGAGCUGUCUAACUCCUGCCUCUGGCGGGUGUAUGACCGUGCAGUAUGAGGUACUGGAAUAGGACACAGACAGAGCUAACCUCCCAGGGGAAGGAAGCCUUUGCAUCCAUGCCCAAUGCUGGCUUUGUCAGUGAGACCAUUGAUCCAGGGUCAUAUGGGCAGAGGUGUAGAAACAUGAUCUUAGGUGGGUUCGUGCCACCUGGAUUCAGGUACAGAUUGGCAUCCUUGGGCUUGUUAGGCAAAAUGAGUGGGCACGAUUUAGCCCAGAAAUGCAUAAUUGGUGUGGCUGGUGAGUCCUGAGAAGGAGGGUCAGACACAGGUGGGAACUUCCGUGGUAGGAUUGGACAAGGUCAGAUGGGCGGUGUGGGGCUCUCAUCCCGGGAAAGACAAAGUCAUUCUAUGAAUGUGUGCCUGGGUCUGCCUGGGAAGGUCUUGAGAGCCCUUAGGAUCGGGGAGGACAGAUAGAGUGCCCCAAGCUCGGUCAGCAUCCUGGUCAGGUGUGAUGAGCAGAGCUCAAGGUAUUCUAGAGGCCUGAGGAUCCAUUACUAGUCUGAGGUGUGGUCUGUAGUGUGGUUGGCAUAGGGCCUGACUUACCCAGGUGAGGAAAAAGAUAGAGUUAGGUCUUAUUAGAUAAAGUGAGGUCUGGGGCACAGGUCAGCACAGAUUGUUGAAUGGCUGAGGAGCUACAUCUAUAAGAUGUGGUCUAAGAGGCCCACUGCAGCUACAGGUGAGGUCUAGAGACCUGUGUUUGCAGGUUGAGGUUUUCGAGUCUCAAGUCAGACACUGGCAUUGCUGGGCUUUCCAAAAACGUGAGGUCUGUUGACCUAGCCUCAGCCAAGGUCAACAGCUUGGAAUCUGUCAGUCUGAGGGCUUGCUGGUUCUCAGUCCGGUUUCUAGAAUUGAGUCUGUUUGUUGAGAUCUGAGAGCCUAUGUCAGGCAUGGUGUGGCCAGUGAAACUGUGUCUGUCAGGUAAGGUUCCCCCAAACCUGGACCCUUUCCAGGUGAGGGCCCCCACCAUUCCUUUACCCAGGCCAGAGAACUCUGGGUCACACUUGGUUCUCUCAUUCUCCCAAUUCAUCCUGUUUGAUUGAACCUCCUGAAUCUGCACCCCCAGGGUAGUAUUCUCUGGAUGACCACUGGGGGUCCUAAGUGGUUUCCUGUUUCCAUUUCACCCCUCCCAGACUUCUCCCUUCUCCAGCCUUGCCUCUCAGCUUCUACCCUCCAGCCCCCACUCCUUUCUUCAUCUUCUAGAUUGUGCUGUGUUUCCUCCUGGCCAGCCUAUUUCAAUGGGGUUCCAGUAGAGAAUCAAGGGGUACUAGGCUCAAGUACCCCUCAGAUUUCUUUUGUUUUAUUGAUCUUUGAGAAAGGAAGGGAAGGAGGGAGAGAGAGAAGAGAGAUACAUCGAUUAGCUAGCUGCCUUCCGUACAUUACCCAACUGGGGAUUGAACCUGCAACCCAGGUAUGUGCCCUGACCAGGAAUCAAAACAGCAACCUUUUGGUGCACAGGGCAGUGCUCAGCCAGCUGAAACACUGCAGCCAGGCGAGUUCUGAGGAUUCUGAUGACACAAAGUAGAAUCUGUAAUAUGGCAUGAAAAGGCACAGUGUGAAUGAAUAGUAGGCCUGGUGUGUCUUGAGGCUGAGGCUGAGGUGAUCAGUAUGAGCACCUGGGCCUGUGGGUGUGUCAAGAGGCAGCUGGGCACAGGUAUGAGGCACUGAACUUGUUAGUCUGAGGAUACAGACAUGGCACAGGUACAAGGCACUGGGUCUGUCAGUGUUCAAGGAGGUAAACUAAGCACAAGUUUGAGGCACUGGCACUGUGGGUGUCUGAGGAACCUGACCAGGCACAGGUGUGAGGCGCUGGAUCUGUGGGUGUCUGAGGAGCCUGACCAGGCACAGGUAUGAGGUUCUGGAUCUGUGGGUGUCUGAGGAGCCUGACCAGGCACAGGUAUGAGGCCUGGAUCUGUGGGUGUCUGAGGAGCCUGACCAGGCACAGGUGUGAGGUUCUGGAUCUGUGGGUGUCUGAGGAGCCUGACCAGGCACAGGUAUGAGGCACUGGCACUAUGGGUGUCUGAGGAGCCUGACCAGGCACAGGUGUGAGGUUCUGGAUCUGUGGGUGUCUGAGGAGCCUGACCAGGCACAGGUGUGAGGUUCUGGAUCUGUGGGUGUCUGUGAGGCCUGACCAGGCACAGGUAUGAGGCGCUGGAUGGAUCUGUGGGUGUCUGAGGAGCCUGACCAGGCACAGGUAUGAGGCACUGGAUCUGUGGGUGUCUGAGGAGCCUGACCAGGCACAGGUAUGAGGCCUGGAUCUGUGGGUGUUUGAGGAGCCUGACCAGGCACAGGUAUGAGGUUCUGGAUCUGUGGGUGCCUGAGGAGCCUGACCAGGCACAGGUGUGAGGUUCUGGAUCUGUGGGUGUCUGUGAGGCCUGACCAGGCACAGGUAUGAGGUUCUGGAUCUGUGGGUGUCUGAGGAGCCUGACCAGGCACAGGUAUGAGGCGCUGGAUCUGUGGGUGUCUGAGAGGCCUGACCAGGCACAGGUAUGAGGUUCUGGAUCUGUGGGUGUCUGAGGAGCCUGACCAGGCACAGGUAUGAGGCGCUGGAUCUGUGGGUGUCUGAGGAGCCUGACCAGGCACAGGUAUGAGGUUCUGGAUCUGUGGGUGUCUGAGGAGCCUGACCAGGCACAGGUAUGAGGCGCUGGAUCUGUGGGUGUCUGAGGAGCCUGACCAGGCA